CUCAACCGUCACCGUUGAAGGCCGUCUUUUUUCCCGCCGAGUGCUAUCGGAGGAGGGGAAAUCUGAGGGAAAGCACCCUCUCUCGCUCUCUCUCGAUGGGAGCGAGGCUGGAUCCUCGAUGGUGCCGAGAAUGGAGGAGGAUGCAGAUUGCGUGCCUGGGUUGCCACAGUUCAUCCUUUACAAUUCGCUACUUGCCUCUGAUGGUGGAGUAAGACUGGAACGGGGGCAUCUAAAAGGUCGAGAGACAAAGGAGCCAAGUGGUGACACUGCAAUAAUUCGCGAGAUUUUUUGCGUUUCAAGCGAGUCACGAAUAUUUCACGGAAUCAAAGCGUUCGAGGGGGCGACGGGAGAGAGAGGUUUUCGAGAGGGUUUGGGAGAGAUUGCCGUCAUCCUCCGAAACCGCCACAUCUUUGCACAUCUCGUCCUCUGCUGGGCCAACUUCCUCAACCUCAUCACCGCCGGUGACAACAUCUCAUCGCACCACCACGUUUCCUGGUUCAUGGUUUGGGGAAUCGUUCCCAAUAUCCGCACAAGCACAAGCGCAUGUUAGGACUUGACUUCACUACAUGGGAGUUGCCCUGGAAUAAAAGGUGAAAACGGGGUCAUGGGCAAGUAUGCUGCUGGUGGAGAGCUCAAACCACCAGUCGACUAACUCAGUGACUGUUACCUAGCUUGUGCAUCUUAACGCACCUCCUGGUAACCUGGCAUUUGAUGGGUUCACUGGUGCGACUCAAGAUUUGUAGAGCUACUGGAUGCAAGCCCAUCCUUGGCAUAUCUGAUCUUUUUGAACGCAGCUAAAGUCUUGCCGCUUUUUGAUGAACCCGCUUACAUGGGCCAAGUAACAGGAAGUGGUGUUUGAAGCAUGAAAAAAUUGCAAGGAGAUGGUGUUGAAGGAGUUCUUCAAUGCACAUGGUCAUGUGGGCGGUUCUCCAUUGGAGUGUUCCGGUUUACUGCUUACAAAACCUGAUAUGAUAAUGUUGAUCUUGUGGCAAUUCGUGAGAACGAGAAAGGAGAGUACAGCGGCCUGGAGCAUCAGGUUGUUAGAGGUGUUGUUGAAAGUCUCAAAAUCAUUACCAGACAAGCUAGUCUGACAUUUGCAGAAUAUGCUUUCCGCUAUGGUAAAACCCAAGGAAGAAAAAAAGUUUCUCCCAUACACAAAGCCAACAAUAGGAGGAAGACUGAUGGACUUUUUCUUAAGUGCUACCGAGGGGUAGCAGAAAAGUAUCCAGAGAUCAAUUAUGAGGAAGUCAUCAUUGAUAAUUGCUUUAUGAUGCUUGUGAAAAUCCUUCUCUUUUUGAUGUGUUGGUGAUGCCAAACCUUUAUGGAGGCAUUAUGAGUGAUCUUUGUGCUGCAUUGAUUGGAGGAUUGGGUUUGACGCCAAGCUGUAAUAUUGGUGAGGGUGGUAUUGCACUGGCUGAAGCUGUGCAUGGUUCAUGCUGGCAAGGUGAGAACUCUGUACAUGUACAUGCCUAUGCAUUAGCCAGCUUCAUCUCAUCACACUGGUUUUUGUGUCUCACUGUUGCUACAUUUCAAAUCUCUAUGGAAUUAGUUCUUAACUUAGGCUGUCCGUGACACCUCACAUUUUCAGAAGUUGUUUGGCAAGAUGAAGUAAUUUAAUUCUGUGUCUGUCUUAUCUUCACCUCUGAUUACUACUUUUCACAAUCACAUUUGAUCGAUCAUUGUAGCAUCAACAGAGUUUGACUCAACAUUUAGAGAGGACCAUGUCCAAUGUAUUGAGUUUAGGAGUACUGCAGCUCACACAGCUGUUCACAAUCAAGGUCAUUUAAUGUUAUCAAGG